rnacentral:sRNA from 1 species
GCCUGGUGUGGUGGUGCACGUCUGUAAUCCUAGCUACUUGGGAGGCUGAGGCAGGAGAAUUGCUUGAACCUGGGAGGCUGAGGUUGCAGUGAGCCGAGAUCAUGCCACUGCACUCCAGCCUGGGCAAUAGAGUGAGACUCUGCCUCAA